rnacentral:rRNA from 1 species
UCUAACAUAUGUGCAAGUUAUUGGGAGAUAAACCUAAUAGCGUAAUUAACUUGACUAAUAAUGGGAUUAGUUUUUUAACUAUUUAUAGAUAAUUAACACAAUCCCGGGGCGUUCUAUAUAGUUAUGUAUGAUAAUAUUUAUAUUAUUUAUGCCUCUAACUGGAACGUACCUUGAGCAUAUAUGCUGUGACCCGAAAGAUGGUGAACUAUACUUGAUCAGGUUGAAGUCAGGGGAAACCCUGAUGGAAGACCGAAACAGUUCUGACGUGCAAAUCGAUUGUCAGAAUUGAGUAUAGGGGCGAAAGACCAAUCGAACCAUCUAGUAGCUGGUUCCUUCCGAAGUUUCCCUCAGGAUAGCUGGUGCAUUUUAAUGUUAUAUAAAAUAAUCUUAUCUGGUAAAGCGAAUGAUUAGAGGCCUUAGGGUCGAAACGAUCUUAACCUAUUCUCAAACUUUAAAUGGGUAAGAACCUUAACUUUCUUGAUAUGAAGUUUAAGGUUAUGAUAUAAUGUGCCCAGUGGGCCACUUUUGGUAAGCAGAACUGGCGCUGUGGGAUGAACCAAACGUAAUGUUACGGUGCCCAAAUUAACAACUCAUGCAGAAACCAUGAAAGGCGUUGGUUGCUUAAAACAGCAGGACGGUGAUCAUGGAAGUCGAAAUCCGCUAAGGAGUGUGUAACAACUCACCUGCCGAAGCAACUAGCCCUUAAAAUGGAUGGCGCUUAAGUUGUAUACCUAUACAUUACCGCUAAAGUAGAUGAUUUAUAUUACUUGUGAUAUAAAUUUUGAAACUUUAGUGAGUAGGAAGGUACAAUGGUAUGCGUAGAAGUGUUUGGCGUAAGCCUUCAUGGAGCUGCCAUUGGCACAGAUCUUGGUGGUAGUAGCAAAUAAUCGAAUGAGACCUUGGAGGACUGAAGUGGAGAAGGGUUUCGUGUGAACAGUGGUUGAUCACGAGUUAGUCGGUCCUAAGUUCAAGGCGAAAGCCGAAAAUUUUCAAGUAAAAAAUCAGUGAGUAAUAUUGUCAAAUCUUUUAUGAUUUUUAAAUACUUGAAUAAUUUUGAACGAAAGGGAAUACGGUUCCAAUUCCGUAACCUGUUGAGUAUCCGUUUGUUAUUAAAUAUGGGCCUCGUGCUCAUCCUGGCAACAGGAACGACCAUAAAGAAGCCGUCGAGAGAUAUCGGAAGAGUUUUCUUUUCUGUUUUAUAGCCGUACUACCAUGGAAGUCUUUCGCAGAGAGAUAUGGUAGAUGGGCUAGAAGAGCAUGACAUAUACUGUUGUGUCGAUAUUUUCUCCUCGGACCUUGAAAAUUUAUGGUGGGGACACGCAAACUUCUCAACAGGCCGUACCAAUAUCCGCAGCUGGUCUCCAAGGUGAAGAGUCUCUAGUCGAUAGAAUAAUGUAGGUAAGGGAAGUCGGCAAAUUAGAUCCGUAACUUCGGGAUAAGGAUUGGCUCUGAAGAUUGAGAUAGUCGGGCUUGAUUGGGAAACAAUAACAUGGUUUAUGUGCUCGUUCUGGGUAAAUAGAGUUUCUAUCAUUUAUGGUAGUUACUUGUUCCCCGGAUAGUUUAGUUACGUAGCCAAUUGUGGAACUUUCUUGCUAAAAUUUUUAAGAAUACUAAUUGGGUUAAACCAGUUAGUUCUUAUUAAUUAUAACGAUUAUCAAUUAACAAUCAAUUCAGAACUGGCACGGACUUGGGGAAUCCGACUGUCUAAUUAAAACAAAGCAUUGUGAUGGCCCUAGCGGGUGUUGACACAAUGUGAUUUCUGCCCAGUGCUCUGAAUGUCAAAGUGAAGAAAUUCAAGUAAGCGCGGGUCAACGGCGGGAGUAACUAUGACUCUCUUAAGGUAGCCAAAUGCCUCGUCAUCUAAUUAGUGACGCGCAUGAAUGGAUUAACGAGAUUCCUACUGUCCCUAUCUACUAUCUAGCGAAACCACAGCCAAGGGAACGGGCUUGGAAUAAUUAGCGGGGAAAGAAGACCCUUUUGAGCUUGACUCUAAUCUGGCAGUGUAAGGAGACAUAAGAGGUGUAGCAUAAGUGGGAGAUAUUAGAUUUCGGUUUGGUAUCGACAAUGAAAUACCACUACUCUUAUUGUUUCCUUACUUACUUGAUUAAAUGGAACGUGUAUCAUUUCCUAGCCAUUAUACGGAUAUAUUUAUUAUAUCUUAUGGUAUUGGGUUUUGAUGCAAGCUUCUUGAUCAAAGUAUCACGAGUUUGUUAUAUAAUCGCAAACAAAUUCUUUAAUGAGAAAAUGCAUUUAUGUAUUUUCAAUUUGAAAAUUUGGUAUAACUCCAAUUACUCAGGUAUGAUCCAAUUCAAGGACAUUGCCAGGUAGGGAGUUUGACUGGGGCGGUACAUCUCUCAAAUAAUAACGGAGGUGUCCCAAGGCCAGCUCAGUGCGGACAGAAACCACACAUAGAGCAAAAGGGCAAAUGCUGACUUGAUCUCGGUGUUCAGUACACACAGGGACAGCAAAAGCUCGGCCUAUCGAUCCUUUUGGUUUAAAGAGUUUUUAACAAGAGGUGUCAGAAAAGUUACCAUAGGGAUAACUGGCUUGUGGCGGCCAAGCGUUCAUAGCGACGUCGCUUUUUGAUCCUUCGAUGUCGGCUCUUCCUAUCAUUGUGAAGCAAAAUUCACCAAGCGUUGGAUUGUUCACCCAUGCAAGGGAACGUGAGCUGGGUUUAGACCGUCGUGAGACAGGUUAGUUUUACCCUACUAAUGACAAAACGUUGUUGCGACAGCAUUCCUGCGUAGUACGAGAGGAACCGCAGGUACGGACCAAUGGCACAAUACUUGUUCGAGCGAACAGUGGUAUGACGCUACGUCCGUUGGAUUAUGCCUGAACGCCUCUAAGGUCGUAUCCGUGCUGGACUGCAAUGAUAAAUAAGGGGCAAUUUGCAUUGU